CACGUAGGGCGCAAGCGUUGUCCGGAAUUAUUGGGCGUAAAGAGCUCGUAGGCGGUCUGUUGCGUCCGCUGUGAAAACUCGGGGCUUAACCCCGAGCCUGCAGUGGAUACGGGCAGACUAGAGGUAGGUAGGGGAGAAUGGAAUUCCCGGUGUAGCGGUGAAAUGCGCAGAUAUCGGGAGGAACACCGGUGGCGAAAGCGGUUCUCUGGGCCUUACCUGACGCUGAGGAGCGAAAGCGUGGGGAGCGAACAGG
rnacentral:rRNA from 1 species